AUAGGAUUUGCCUGAUGUAGAUGCCUUUCCCUUAGCUGUACUUCAGGUUCCUUUUAAAAUCAUUGGAGGGAAAGAGGCAACUUUAGGAUGUGAUUCUUUCCCUCUGUUUCACAUGCCUUCUUCAUGGUGAAAUGAAUGGUAGAAAUAUUUUUUCCUACAGUAGGAAACCGGUUAGAGUGUAGACAGGUAUUAUUUAGUGAUCAAAAAUUGUAGUCACCCAGUGUCCUUCAAUGCCACUUAAACACUUCAGUUGAAAAACAAAACAAACUUGAUUAAACAACUGCUGCUGACUAACUGUUUAGUUAUUACUGUACAGUUAAAGAUGUCAUUAUCUCUUAGCUGCAAAUGCAGAUCUUGGAUGCAGAAAUAUUAAGGCAAAAAAUUGCUGUUUUCAGGUGUUAAUAUCUGAAUUAAUGAAGAUGUUAUCAUAGAAUCAUAGAAUGGGUUGGGUUGGAAGGGAUCUGUAAGAUGAUCUAGCCUAGCCCCCUGCUAUAGGCACCUCCAUCUAGAUCAGGCUGCUCACAGCCAUCCAGCCUGGCCUUGAAUGCUUCCAGGGAGAGGGAAUCCACAACCUUGCUGGGCAACCUGUUCCAGUGUCUCACCACUCUCACAGGAAAUAAUUUCUUCCUGAUAUCUAGUCUGAAUAUACCCUCUUCCAGUUUAAAACCAUUUCCCCUCAUCUUAUUGCUACAUGCCCUUGUAAAAAGUCCCUCCUCAGCUUUUCUGUAGGCCCCUUCAGGUACUGGAAGGCUGCUAUAAAGUUCCCCCCCAGAGCCUUCUCUUCUCCAGAAUGAAGAGCUCCAGCUCUCUCAGCCUGUCCUCAUGGGGGAGGUGUUCCAGCCCUCUGAUCAUUUUUGUGGCCUUCCUCUGGACCUGCUCCAACAUCUCCAUGUUCUUGUGUUGAGGGCCCCAGAGUACUGGGCACAGUACUCCAGGUAGGGUGUCACAGGAGCAGGGGGGAAGAAUCACUAUCCUUGACCUUCUGGUCAAGCUUCUCUUGAUGCAACCCAGGAUACAGUUGACCUUCUAGGCUGCAAGUGCACUGUGCCAGCUCAUAUUGAAUUUUUCAUCAACUGACACCCCCAAAUCCUUCCCCUCAGGGCUGCUCUCAAGCCAUUCUCUGCCCAACAUCUAUCUGUGCUUGGGAUUGCCCUGACCCAGUUGCAGGACCUUGCACUUGACUUUGAUGAACUUCAUGAGGUUGGCAUGGGCCCACCUCUGCAGCCUGUCCAGGUCCUUCCAUCCCUUGGAGGUGUUCAAGAAAUGUUUAGAUGUUGUACUGAGGGACAUGGUUUAGUGGGAAAUAUUGGUUAUAGGUGGAUGGCUGGACUGGAUGAUCUUACAGGUCUUUACCAACCUUGGUGAUUCUGAUUCUCCCUGGAUAGUAUUCCUUCCCUCUAGCAUGUCAUCUGCACCACUCAGCUUGGUGUUGUCUGCAAACUUGCUGAGCGUGAGUCUGGUCCCACUGUCCAUGUCACCUACAAGGAUGUUAAAUAACAUCAAUCCCAGCACAUUGGACACUGAGCUGUUAACUGCAACUUUCUGAGUGUAACCAUCCAGCCAAUUCCUUAUGCAGUGAGUGAUCCAUCCAUCACAUUGAUUUUUCUCUAAUUUGGUGACCAGGAUGAUGUGUCAGACAGUGUCAAAUGCUUUGCACAAAUCUAGGUAGAUGACAUCAGUUGUUCUUCCUUUAUCCACUGACACUAUGACUCCAUCAUAAGAGGCCACUACAUUUGUCAGGCAUGACUUGCCCUUGGUGAAGCCAUGCUGGUUAUCAUCAAUCACCUCAUCUUUAUUUUCCAUGUGCCUUAGUAGGGCCUUCAGGAGGAUCUGCUCUGUGAUCUUGCCAGGUGCAGAGGUGAUACUGACUGACCUGUAGUUCCUUGGAUCUUUUUUUUUUCCCUUCUUGAAAAUGGGGGUUACGUUUCCCCUUUUCCGAUCAGUGUGAACUUCACCAGACUGCCACAACCUUUUAAAUAUGAUAAAUAGUGGCUUGGCAACUUCAUCUGCCAGUUCCCUCUGAACCUGUGGAUGGAUCUCAUCAGUUCCCAUGGACUUGUGCACCUUCAGGUUCUUUAGACGGUCUUGAACCUGAUCUUCACUUAGAGUGAGCAGCUUCUUACCAUUGCUUUCUGCAGCUUGGGCAGCAUGAAUAGAGCCUUUGCCAGCGAAGACUGAAGCAAAGAAGCCAUUGAGCACCUUGGCUUUCUCCAUAUCCCUUGUGACCAGGUAUUCAGUUUCCUCCCAGAGAGGGACCCACAUCUUCCCUGACCUUUAAUCACUAAUUAAACCUGUAAUAUUUCUUCUUGUUCCCCUUUAUGUACCUGGCUAGAUUUCAUUCUAUCUAGGUUUUAGCUUUCCUAACAUGAUCCCUAGCUGCUCAGACGACUGUUCUGUAGUCCUCCCAAGUAACCUGCUCCUGCUUCCACUCCCCUGUAGUCCUCCCAGGCAACCUGCUCCUGCUUCCACUCCCUAUAUACUUUAUUUUUCUACUUAAGGAAGUCCAGGAACUCCUAGUUGAUUCAUGAAGGCCUCCUGGCACUCUUGCCUGCCUGCCUGCCUUUUUCUCAGGGUGCAAUGCUUCUGGGCUUGGAGGAGAUGGUCCUUGAAUACUGACCAGCUUUCUUAGGUCCCUCUUCCCUCCAGGGCUUUAUCCCAUGUCACCCUGCCAAGUAGUUCCCUGAAGAGUUCGAAGUCUGUGCUUCUGAAGUCCAGAGUAGCAAGCUUGCUGCACACCCUCUUUGAUGCCGUAAGGAUCUUGAACAACACUGUUUCGUGGUCACUGCAGCCAAAGCUGCCCUUGAGCUUUGCAUUACUCACCAGUCCCUCCUCAUUAGUGAGAACAAGGUCCAGCAUAGCAUUUUUCUCAUGGGUUCAUGUACCACUUGGAAGAGAAAGUUAUCAUCAAUGCAUUCCGGGAACAUCUUCAAUUUCUGGUGCUCUGCUGUGUUGUCCCUCCAACAAGUAUUGGGAUGGCUGAAAUCCCCCAUGAGGACCAUGUUUUGUGAACAUGAAGCUGCUUCUAUCUGUAGAGGGCCUCAUCUGCUUGGUUUUCCAGACCAGGUGGUUGGCCUGUAGCAGACUCCCACUACAGUGUCUCCUUCCCCUGCGUCUUUUAACCCUAACCCAUAAGCUCUCUGUCAGCUCCUCAUCUAUCCCCAGGUGGAGGGUAGACACUAUGCCUCCAAUAGAGCUAUAAAUAUUAAGGAGGUUCUGAAAGAACUGGUUUUCUGUUUUCAAGUCCAUUCUAAACAUGCUACUCAUAGGUAUCACUGGUAAUAUGAGUAUAGUAAAUAUGCUGCUUACAAAACUAGUCAUGUUUUAAAUUUUUCUUGAAAUACUAUCUGCUAGUGCUGGAAAUAGAUUGCUUGCAUAAACAGAUUAAUUAGAAUUUCAGUCUUCCCAACUGGUGUUGGGCGGUGAUCCUCCAAUCAACUUUGUAAACCUGAUGCCCACAUGUUGCGUUGCUUACUGCCCUGCCUACUGCCAAGCAGCAGGGUGGUAUUACUGUGCCUAACUGGAUGUCAGUCAGUAUCUGCCUACCUAGAAGAGCUCCUCUCAGAGCUAAUUUGCUAGCCUGGUGGGUGAUAAAGAUUAAAGCCUCCCUGAUCACCUCAGGGGAGUUUCACUAGGAGCUGAUCCAGAAGUUUUUAAGUUCUGGGCCACGUAUCUGGAUUCCUCUGUAAGGAGGUAGCACAGAUUUCAGGAUUUACAGCAACACACGAUUAAUUUCAAUGCUGUAAGUCGGAUGUGGGCAACCAUUAUAGCUUGUUUAGAUCUGCAGCAUUUGGCAGUCAAACUUUGUCAAACUUGGCAAACAACACUUCGUAAAGUAAAUUCCUAUUGUAAGCAUGUUCACUUGAGUACCUCUGAAAGGCCAGUAUUUCUGGCUAAUUUUUUUGGUUCGUAUUGCAGGUGCAUGAAGAGGCAUGUGCUAUUUUUCUAUAAGGACUCAGUUAACUGGAGUCAUGAGUUGCUUCAUGAUACAGCUGUUUUUCAGCUGGUGGCAUCUUUAAGGUCAGAUGUUCCCAGCAAGCCUGGCAUCAGCCUGGCCUCUUGCAUCCAUUAUUGUGCCCCAUAUACUAGAGUUCAGAAGACUUCUCAAACAUAGAAUCACAGAAUCAUUAAGGCUGGAAAACAUCACCAAGUUUGUCUGCUAAUGGGAUGAGAACUGUGUAGCUUUGUUUACCAAUGAGGCUCUUAAUUUAUGCCUGUGAUGGCAUUCCUUCCAUGCUGUUUUUACUAAAUCUCUCUGGAUCUCACAGUUGAAUAAACUGUUUUAUUCCAAGCCUGCACAAGAGGAAGCAGUCUGAACACUGCAAAAAUACUUUUUCUGUUGAUUUGAUAGCAUUCCAAGUAUCGUUGGUUUUAUGCUGUUGUUGAAUUUACAGUUUGUGCAGCAUGGCCUAACAUGGUUUGUCUUCUGUUGUUUAUUACUGUGUUUCUUUGAUACUGGUAUUGGGUAGUUGACCCUAUCACCACAUCUGAGGUAAGGGACAAGGCCUCAUUCAUUCAACUCAAAACAGAAGGAAGUUUACCUACAAGAUUUGUGCAUUAUUGAGGCGCUUUCUGUCAAAUACCUAUUAACGAGAUCUGCUCCAGCUUCUGUAAUUUGCUAGCCUGCUCUGUAUUUGAUAUGGAGCUGGAGUGGCAAGAGUAUAUUUGAGUGUAGGCAAAACAUGAAGGCAUUUUCCAUUCCUGUUGGUGAGUUAAUAUCGCUAGGUGUUUUUCAUGAGCAUGGUUUCUGUGUUCUUGGGCAUGCCCACAGUAUGGGGGCUGUAGUUAGGGAGAUGUCCACCUGUAAUGGAACUGGUUUUCGUUGAGGAGCCCUCUCCUUGUUCUCCUCUUCUGCAGAGGAACAGCUGCUCGGUGGCUAGGGGAGCUGAGGAAAACUUGUGUGUGUGUUUCCUUUCAGCUGGCAUCACUGUAAGACAGGUUAUGAAAAGGGACGUACUGUAAAUACAUAUACAGUGUCAUUCUACAACGAUUUAAUGAUGGAAACUUGUAUGCAAGCUUUUAUUUUUAAAAGUAAUUUACUGCUCCUAUCUCUUCUGUUACACCAGAAUAGCUGUCAUUUCACCUGGUGCUCCUGAGAUCAGCAGUGCUAAUGCUCUAUUGUAAUAUUGUCCUGAGUAUCCAUGGUGAUGACGAAAUUUAACCUCUGUCUGUAGCCAGUGCUGCCCUGGAGGAGUUUGUGACAUCCUUUAAGUUGCACUGGUGUCAUACUGUGGCUUUGGUAGAACAGCUUUCUGAUGUCAGGAAACCAGGCUCCUCCAAGUUCAUGGACAUUCCAGCAGCAAAACUCGGAGUUCUAUGAGCUCUGAGAUGGUGGUGGUGAGGAAAAUAAGUGUAGAGGUCUAAGAGGGAAAAUAAAUGUAUGCUAGGUAGUUGCAAUGACCCAUGCACUCAAAAAUUCAGUUUCUUCCUUCCUCUUUAAAAAGAACAGCAGAAUCAUUCUCUUAAAGAACUGAAAAUAAUUACAAAUUGUGGUAAUACUAAUGAUAGGUGUAAUACAGAAGAAACCCACUAUUUCAUAUCACUUGAUAGGAAACCUAACUUGCCAUUUUAAUAUUUCACUACUUAGUUAUACCACCUCAUUGUACUAUAAUGCUUUCUGAUUUGUUUGGCCAUUAGAUAAAUAAUGUGACUUCAUUUAAAUUACCAAAAUGUGAAGAAGUGUUAAACCGUGUUCUCCACUCUGAAGAGUAAUGGAAGAAGGCUGCUGUAUUAUCUCUGGAUUAAAUACAUUAUUUCAGCACUAUAAAGAUAAACCUUGUGUCUUGGACAGUAGUUACCAAGUAGGCAUUCUUUAACACCUGGAACAUCUGGAUCAUGUUGACUUUUUUUACCAUGGCAAAAAGGGUGAAUGAAAUACAAUUCCUGCUUUCUGAGUUCAUAAGCAUUUCUUCAGUCUCAUGGCAGCUGGAGAUCCCAAUCCAUAAGUAUAUAUAUACGUAUGUUACAGAUAUUAUGUGUUUUUUAAAAAGAAUUGACAGAGCUUACUCUAAAGUGACUUCUGUGUCAAAUUGAGUAGAUGAACGAAUUAUUUUCAUGUUCAGACUUCUUUGUUAGUGAUUAUUUUAAGCAAAAUAGAAAAUGUUGAUGUUCUAAUGGGAUAUAUUUGUAUCAGAAUAAAUAAAUAAUUGGCAAUUACUUAUAAAUAGCUUAAGCUGUUUUAUUUUCAUCUUUUGUGGUUAUCUGUAUUCAUAACUUUUUCUUUGAUCUGUAUAUGUUUGCUUUUCCUAAGUGGUUUUAAUGUUUUAUUAUAAUAUUCUUAAUAUGAUAUAAGCUUCAAUGAUACAAUGAUCAAUAAACUGUAGUAGGCUGGUUCUGGGACAGAAAAAAAAGCUAUGCUAAAUUUUAGUCUGAAUUUUAGGCCACUUGUUAUGUUUUAAAAGAAAGAACUUGCAUUAAAAAUAGUUUGACUGAUUUAUGUGGUGGAUUAGACUGGAUUUAGUUGCUUUGAAAUCUAGUAAUCAGAUAAAGUUCUGCACAAAGCAGCUGCAGCUCUUUGCACUGGUGCUUGUGGUAUUGGACCAGCUUGAGGUCAGUGAUCAAGAUGAAGGUACAUUUCAAAGGAUUUCCCUUGGGAAUGAACGCCAAGCACUGCUGAUGGAUCAAAAGCGCUGGUCUGUGGCAAUGAAAAGAGCAGAGGCUCUUACUGUCAUGGAAGUACAGACUGUUUGCAAUAGCACUUGGCAUCUCUCAUAAAGUGCAUGGCUAUCAGGGCAAGUAAAAGCAUGACAGCCACUCUUACUUCUUUCAAAAGCCUGUGUUACAUGCUUAAUCUUCUGGGCAGAAUUAUUUAACCAGCUGUGGCGCUUCUCUUUCAUGUCUGGAUGGGGAAGCCUGAGCACUGAUGUAGGCUUUCUGAGUGUGAAACAGGUCCAUUUACCCUGACAGUGGAACUGAUUCAGCUUUGCUGAAGUGAAUGUCUUCAUCAGUGGGGCUGUUGCUGGCAUUGCUGCUGGGUGCGGUGGAUAUAGGCAGAGGGAGAGGGUGAAGUCUUCUACAGUGGUGAAAGUAGGGCUUUUGCUGCUGCUCCGGAGCAAAGAGGGGAGUUUUCCUACCCAGUUCCUAUAUCUGUCCCAGACAGCAGCCAUGUCUAUUGGCUGGACUUUGUAUUAUUCAUAUUCACCUCUGCUGAGAUACAGUUUCUUUGUGAUAAAAUCAUGUGCAUUCCAGCCUAGGAUCCAUUGAAACUUGUAGGCAGGCACACACAAGUAUAAGGCAAUAAAGCUGUUUAGUUUAAGUUUUUCCUUCUUUACAUCAAUUUAAUGGAGAAAAGAGUUGGCUUACCUUUUCUCCUAGUUCAAAACAACAGAAUGAGCUUGCUGGCAUGUGUACAUCUAGAGAAUGCAGCAAGUCGUGUUCAGUGGGGUUGAUGCAGGCCUGUAAAAGGAAAGUCUCGACAGCUUCUGUUAUUGCAGCUGCUAUUUCCAGAAACUUCUGUGAAGAAGUAACUGCCAAGUUUUGGCAUUUUAUUGCAUAGGAGAGUUAGGCAUUAUACAAGAUAGGACAAGUGGGAAGAAGACAGAAUACAAACCUAAGAGUACUUCCUCAGUGCUACCUAUGUAUUUUUAACCUCCUCUAAAAACUGAAGUGAUUGUGUAUUAGUGUUGGUGAUGAACUUCUAAUACUUGCAGAAAUUUUCCUUAUAGGCACUCUGACUUCUUUAACUUCAUGGGAUGCUCAGUUGUACCUUGAAUUUGUUGUGCUGUAGCAAACAUACAAGGGGGCAGCAGACCUGAGUGAUCCAGCAGUACUCUUGUUGUCUGCAGUUAUGUUUUAGAAAGCACCGAUACAGGAUGAGUAGUAGCUGUGCUUAAUGAUGAGUGUAACAGGCAUUAAAUGUAAUUAAUACCAAUUAAACAAUUCUAGGAGAAGAUAGUUUUAAUAUGUUUUGCAGGCAUAGGGUGACAAUCCCAAAGAACUGCUUAGAAAGACUUAUGCCAGUGUGCAGGAAGGUGAUCAUAAAUAGCUGUUUAUAUCUUGGCACUAUUAGAACUUGAGCAUCUUGGAGUUUCUGUGACUGUAUUGUAAGGGAGGGUUCCCAUUGUAUUAGAUAUUUUUGUUCUCUUUGCUGGUUCUUCUUUCCUUGUGACUAAUGUGGUGCUCUGGGAUUUACCUCAGUGAACUUGGGGACUGCUUUCUCAAAAAGCACUUGUAAAAUUACACCAAGAUGGGAGCAAAUUCAUCUGUAAAAUCACAAAAAUCCAUUUUUGUAUUUGAAGCCCUGAUGAUAGCAGUAUGAAUUAGCAGUGAGAACAUUAGUAGCAUUCUGAUGCCUCAGUUAGAUCAGUUACAGCUGAACUGUGCAGAGCUGCAGCUGCUGCUGUUCUGUGGAUGACCAUAACCAAAUGAAGAAAAAGGAAACAAGUAGAGUGAAGGACAAGUAGAUGUGAUACCAGUGGAGACUCAGACUGCAGUAACAUGCAAAAAUCAAAACUUCAAAAGAAGGAGGAAAUCGAACUGAUGUGUUUCUUGGCGAGGUACAUGAACAUUUUUCCAACAGAAGUGACGUGUCUCACAGGAGCUUUCAGUAUAUGUUACAGCGUAAUCUGUAUCAAACUGAACAUACAGUUUCCCCUGUUACAAACAACUUCUUAAACAGAACUCAAGGCUCAGCUCUUCAGAACAUGCUAGGCACCUUCUUCUGUCUCAUGGGAUCUGAUUCUACCUUACAGGCAUCACAGACCUCCAGGAAAAUCUGUGCCCUUCCAAGACACCAUCUAACCACAAAGUCUGCUUCAGAAGCAUGCCAGCCCUUGUAGAGCACAGAAAAAAAAGAGAUAUCAGGAGCCAGAGUUACAUUCCAGAGGUCAAUUACCUCAUUUUCUAAACUACAUACAAUACAAUUCUCCAGCUACUUCGCAGUCUCAUUUGCCAGGCAUUUUUUCUGACAAUCAUCUUAGACAUUAAGUACGAGCCCUCCAUACUCUUGUACCAAUCUCACUUGCUUGAACCUGUGUACAGAGGUGUGUCAUUCUGAUACCUACAAGGAAGCUGCUCUCAUGGUAGGGAUGCGGAAAUACUUCAUAGCAACUCUGUUUUGCCUGUGAUUUAAACUCCUUCUGAGGCUAUUGGAGACUGUAUGGAAACUGUUGAAUCACGGCCUGAACCUCUGAUUGACCACCUGAGGAGAGCGCUGAGUCAGCCACAGGGGCACAGGUGAACGCAAUUUCACCUCAGUGACUGGAUGGGGUGGAGCCUGGCUCCAGCCCUCCUAGACCCCAUUUAAGGGCUGACUCCCAAGAAGGAAAGACAUCUAUCUGGAGAUCAUUUUUCUUGGAGCCCUUCUGCAAGCCCAGGACACAGGCAAGAGAAGAUUGGAUCCUGAGUGGGCACCAGGCACUGCUAUACUUCCAGCACCUAGAAUUGCUGGACCA
ensembl:lncRNA